GAAGCUCAAAGCCGCACUGGAAACACAGUCUUUCAGGAUGUCUGAAAGGGGCAAGUCUGUUUGUGUGGGGGAGAGGAGGGUGCAGACCAGAUUUUUAAAUUGAGAAUGCAACAGUGAAGGAUUUCAAGCUUGGAGUGAGAGGGGAGACUACGAGCCUGCAGUGAUAAGGCAAAGCUGAAGAUUUCAGAGCCAAGGCCACACCCUACAGUUGCCAUGGAAUGGGGUGGCACAGUGGGCUUUGGAGGUAAAGUCUGCAGUUGAGAAGUUCAAGGGUAGUUAAGAAGCAAAUCUGUUCCGAUGUGAUGCCAACUAAGUACAUGAUCUGAUUGUUCCAGUUAUCCUGUGCCAAAAAGAAGCAAAAAAUGGGCUUUCCACGGAUUAUUGAACACGGUGGGUGGAGCAAGAAGAGUGAUCCCAUUUAGGCAAGGAAUCCCUGACCCUUAUCUGGCUCAGCUUAACCUGGGAGGGCACAGUCAUCACAUCAGCUGGAGGAAAGAAUGAACAUGGAUUGGAAGAGCCUGCUGGUGUUGCAGAACAACAAUCCGGAAAGCCCUUGGAGGAGGUGGGUGAAGCCACCUUCGAGCACUAUGGUGCAGCCUGCAGAGGGAUGGGGGAUGGCCCUGGGUUUCAGCAGCAGGGGGUCCACAGCAUAAACCUUGCCUGCCACCGCGGGUGCUGCAGAGCAAAGACAGCACCAUAGUAGCAGCAAGAGGGACAACUGAGGAGGCAGGGAACCUCACAUGCAGCUCGAACCCAAGAGCUGGCUGAUGGCUGUUGGGAGCCCAGAGUCCUGAACUCAUCCUGUGACCAAGUGAGUGAGAAUCAUUCAAAAUCAGGAUGUCAGCACCAUUCUGGCAGCCCAAUCGCACACCAUCCCAUGACAGCAAUCCUGUGCCAGUCAGCAGAAUCAAUCCACUCACUAGGCUGCUUUUCUGGAACUGGAGGUCAGCCCCAGGGCCCCACCACUGAACUGUUUAAUAUUCUAGAAUUUAUGUUACACAGUAAAAGAUAGACAACUCUGUCUGCAGUUCUGGGACUGGGAUAUGCCUGUGCAUACACGCAUCUGCUCUGUUUUGGUUUCACUUCACUUUAGUUAUUUGAUUUGGUGUCUGCAAAACCCUGUGUGCACAUUUUUAUGAUCCUUGGGACAAUUUACUGCCAACCUUGCUUGAACUCUAAAAUAUGCCUCCAGUUUCGGAAAACCACAAAUUAUUUACCAAGGAGGCAAGGAAAUGGAGGUCACUGGGCUCAUUUCUUACAUAAUUUUCAACUUCCUUUCUGAGGCCUGACAUCUCCCGGCAGUCACAGUGAUGUCUUCCUUAGAUGGAUUCAAUAAUGGGGAAGAACAGAUGAAAAGUGGUGAAAGUUGCUAACUGCUGUGUUCCUCUGCUUGCUUUUCAUGCUGUGUGCCAGGAAUCAAAGCUGGAGGAGCGGAAGGAAGAAUAAAGGGGUUUGCACUAUGAUUUGCAUGUGACUGAUAUGUGUAUUCUUUUGUGUUCUCUGUGCUCUAGUCAAAUACUUCAUGUUGAUCUGUCUUUGGGAUCACUGAGCCAAUCUUCAGCUAUACUGUUCAGCUCAUCUGGGCUUCUGCAUGAACCAGAUCUGAUCUGUGUUUCAAAUCAGCAAACAUCCCAAGAAAGAAAAUAGCCUGUGAAAGGCCCCUUAGGGUCAACUUUUAAGAAGCCUUGGGCAGCUAUGUUCUUCCAACCUAACAGUCCAUAAGAUCUUCCCCUAUUUUUCCAGAAGCUUCAGAUGAGACUAUCACAAAGAAAAGUAUACAGGGAGUCCACGGAGCCUCCCCUGCAAGCAUCAGUACAGAAGUCGAUGAUAAUCUGGAUGCAAGCCCAGGAGUGUGGAGUCCACUGACUCAGAAGACCUGCAUCUAAGGAAUUGGCUGUUCUUAUCCUUAAGAAUGAUGACUGUGUUUCCAAUUCCAGUAGACCCUUUGAUGCGUUCUGAAUAAAUAUUCCUUUUGGAAUUGAACUUCUAGAGCCCUUAAC
rnacentral:lncRNA from 1 species